UAUUUUAAAUUCGACACAAAUUUACGUCAUUCGGCUCGCUUCUUUUAUGUGCAUCCUAAAAGACGUAAAUCACAUGAAUUUUUCGUAGUGUGAAGAUUAUCUCCUAAAAUUCCGGCUAACACGAAAUGUACUUUGAUGGUUUCAUUUGAAAUUGUCAAUAAUAAGCCAUUUUCUUCUAAAUCGAUAAAAAUAUCGAUUAGAUCAUUGAGCGCCUUUGAGGGCCCAUGGUGUGACAUAUCACUGGCUUUGACGAAUCCCGCGACAAACAUAUUGUCUAAUUUUCCGAGAUACUGAGGUGGGAUGGUUGGAAACUAAUAAUAAAUGCCCCAUACUUUAUGUGUUCCAGAGUGUGCUCCAAUUGCGUCAUUCAUUUCCGCUUCAUCACUGAAUAAGAAAAAAGGUAUGACAAACUAUUUUCAAACUGCAUUUUGGUGGCUUUCCACAUAUUUCCAUUGAUAACAUUUGCAAUUACAUUAUUCGCUUCUAAUUUUUCCAUGUGCUCUACUGUUUCUUUAAAUACUGUCCCUGAUUCGAAAUACUGUUGGAACUGAUUUUUGAGUGGCAUCAGACAUCCUUUAGAAAUACUUCACCUGAAUCAUCCUCGAACUCAAUCGUAUGCGUCGCGUUAUCUAAGCCUAUUUUCUUCAUUUGCGUUUUUAAUUUUUGUUCUGUUGAAAUAAACUGCCACGGAUCACAAAUAUCAUCAAUCAGACAACUAUAUUUCGUACUCUCAGGAAAAUGAACGAUUUGCUUGAUAGCUUCACAAAUUGGUUUAAUUAUAAGGUUUGUUAUGUUUUGUUGCAAUUCAAAUACAUCUUUCCUCGUAAAGUGUUUCUUACUACACAGGUGCAUCGAAAAUUUCAUAAAUGAUUGUUUUAAACUGUUGCUUAAAUCUAAUAUUUCUUCUUCAUUGUCCAUUACAUUGUUUUGCGAUUUCUCUAUAUUAUCAUCAUUACAUCGAUUCAAAUCUUCUAUUAGUUGAGCAGUUUCUUCGGAGUUUUGAUGGUGCAUUCCCGACGGACAGCUACUUGGUGCCAUUGAUGGAGCUUCAUUGACUUCUUCGAUUGCUUUUCCCGUUUCAUGUGCUGCAUAAAACUCAUUAUGUAAAAUUUUUACAUGCCUUUUGAAACAGUUCACAUCAGGAAAUGUUGUAGACGGUUGACAAGCCGUGCACUUGUAAAAAAAGAUGGACGGUGUGCUAUGAAAUAUUGUAAGAUGAUCCAUGAGGUUUUGGAAUGUUGUCAUAAGCUCCAUACAUAGAAAGCACUUCAUUUUUCGCAUGAAUUUAGGAAUGCAAUCAACUGUAAUAUUUGAGUGUUCUUCGAUUUCUGCGUGUACUCAAUAUCGUAAAAAUAUUUGCUGAUAAACACCCAGAACAGUUCACUGCUUUCUGGGAACUGCAGAUCUAAUGUAAACUUAAGCUUCACGACUACAUCCAGGCAACGUACUAGCGAUGGUAGUCUAUACCGCAGUUUAUUCGUUGCUACAUAGAAGUAUUCGAAAUUUUCGAUUGCGCCGACUGCGUAUAUUCUUGGCGAGAAUUGUGUGCCGUUCGACUCUAAUUCUUGUCGUUGAGAAUUCAGUGCAUCCGUAAAUUCCGCUUCAGUUUCACAAACAUGGCAUGUAUCAAUUUGCGCUUGAAGGAUCGUAGGCAGCUUUUUAGCGGACGUUCUCACUGGCUUGAGUAAACCAAGGUACCUUUAGGUACAGGUACAGCAAUCUAAGCAGUCAGUGGAUGCGGGGAGUGGUAAACAGCGAGGGGAGGAAAAUGACAGCUGGUGAGUCGGCGAGCUGGCGAGUUUGUUAAUACAAUUUUCCCCUCCAUCGAUUGCUAUCGUCUCCAUAGUGCCGUAAUGUUUAUUAUUACGUGUUGAAAAUUCAAAAGGAACAUUUUCUGCAGGUACCAACGACAGUUUCAGAGUACAGGAUGCUGUGAUUCCACCACGCGAGAAAUUAAUUGGAAAUAAAACAAAUUCCUAAUAUGAGGAUGACACAGACGAUUGCGUAGCCCAGCUCAUGAUUCGUUCGGCUCGAAAAGGACAAUUUCAAUUACGGAGGAUAUUAUGUACCUACUACAGAAAACCAAAUAAUUUCAUAUGCUUCUUCACAACGUGCGUUUUGAAGAUGGGAAUUGGAGCAAAACAAGCAUUUGUUUUUAUGGAGAGUUGUGCUAUUCCCGUGUAGUUCCAGUGAUAUAGUGACACAAUUCAUAAUGUGUCGAAAGUAUAUGAAUAAAAAUUUUAUGCUAGAAAAGAAACUUAAAGUUACCAGAAUUGUUUGAAUGAGCACACCUUCAUUAUAUUUUUAUUCAAAAACCAGAGGUUGAGGAAAAAUCCUUAUUCUCUUUAUGUCGACGAUAGACAGCUGUAAAAAUGACGAAUGUGAUUCCUGUGACUUUUUCCAACCUAAUUCUCAUGUUGUCAUCAUAAUGAAUAAUUGCUUUUGAUUU